CCCUUGUUUGAUCAUGGCUCAGAUUGAACGCUGGCGGCAGGCCUAACACAUGCAAGUCGAGCGGUAGAGAGAAGCUUGCUUCUCUUGAGAGCGGCGGACGGGUGAGUAAUGCCUAGGAAUCUGCCUGGUAGUGGGGGAUAACGUUCGGAAACGGACGCUAAUACCGCAUACGUCCUACGGGAGAAAGCAGGGGACCUUCGGGCCUUGCGCUAUCAGAUGAGCCUGGGUCGGAUUAGCUAGUUGGUGAGGUAAUGGCUCACCAAGGCGACGAUCCGUAACUGGUCUGAGAGGAUGAUCAGUCACACUGGAACUGAGACACGGUCCAGACUCCUACGGGAGGCAGCAGUGGGGAAUAUUGGACAAUGGGCGAAAGCCUGAUCCAGCCAUGCCGCGUGUGUGAAGAAGGUCUUCGGAUUGUAAAGCACUUUAAGUUGGGAGGAAGGGUUGUAGAUUAAUACUCUGCAAUUUUGACGUUACCGACAGAAUAAGCACCGGCUAACUCUGUGCCAGCAGCCGCGGUAAUACAGAGGGUGCAAGCGUUAAUCGGAAUUACUGGGCGUAAAGCGCGCGUAGGUGGUUUGUUAAGUUGGAUGUGAAAUCCCCGGGCUCAACCUGGGAACUGCAUUCAAAACUGACUGACUAGAGUAUGGUAGAGGGUGGUGGAAUUUCCUGUGUAGCGGUGAAAUGCGUAGAUAUAGGAAGGAACACCAGUGGCGAAGGCGACCACCUGGACUAAUACUGACACUGAGGUGCGAAAGCGUGGGGAGCAAACAGGAUUAGAU
rnacentral:rRNA from 1 species